UGGCGAGAGACCGAUAGCGAACAAGUACCGUGAGGGAAAGAUGAAAAGAACUUGAAAAGAGAGUUAAAUAGUACGUGAAAUUGUUGAAAGGGAAACGAUUGAAGUCAGUCGACCGGCGGGAAAUCAGCUUCUCGAGUGGGGGUUCGUGGGUGCGUGGAGCUUCGGCCUUCUCGCUUGUGAUACCUUUGCUUCUGGGGCGUACUUUUCCGUGUGGUAGGUCAACAUCGGUUUGAUUACCAUAAAAUGACCGGAGGAAUGUGGCUUCGAUCUUGUAUUGGAGUGUUAUAGCUCUGGUAGAUGUGGUGGUUGGGAUCGAGGAUUGUAACGAAUACCCUUUGGGCUAUCCGCUGACCUCUGAAAGUCGCUUGGGUACCGAAAGCUUGCUUAUGGUCAUUCAAGUUGGCGGCAAAAGGUUAGAACGUGAUUAAAAUUCGUUAAGGAUGUUGACGUAAUGGCUUUAAACGA
rnacentral:rRNA from 1 species